CAGCCGCCGCGGUAAUACGAAGGGGGCUAGCGUUGUUCGGAUUAACUGGGCGUAAAGGGCGCGUAGGCGGGUUUUUAAGUCAGAGGUGAAAUCCCAAGGCUCAACCUUGGAACUGCCUUUGAUACUGGAAGUCUUGAGUUCGGGAGAGGUGAGUGGAACUGCGAGUGUAGAGGUGAAAUUCGUAGAUAUUCGCAAGAACACCAGUGGCGAAGGCGGCUCACUGGCCCGGUACUGACGCUGAGGCGCGAAAGCCAGGGGAGCAAACGGGAUUAGAUACCCCCGUAGUCCCUGUCUCUUAUAC
rnacentral:rRNA from 1 species